GGCGCGCAGGGUGCGUAUCACCGAGCGCAUGGUACGAGCCGCCGGCUCCAGUGAUUAAUUAUCAGAGGCCGGUGGCCUCGCACUAACACUUCAGCUUUCCCGGCAGAGUCAGCACACCCAGCCGCCGCCAGCGCGGCCCGGACCGAGGAGCGGCUCUGGGGAGGACGCCGAGGCUGCGCCCGAGAGGGAAAGAAUGAAUCUAUCCAUAGGCAAAGGGAAUGAAGCCAGCAGAAAAAAGGAUAUUGAAAAUCUAAGCCAGAGGGAAAAUGAUAUAAAAGGGUCCUAGAAGAGAAUGUGAUCAAGAACACACAUGAAAGGGGUGCCCCUGAAGGGAGAAGAAAAAAGUUUUUCUCAAAAACCAAAGAUUUCUCUAGUCCUAGCAACCUUGGAGACAGCUCAGGGAAAUGAAAAUUGGUGGAAAACAUUUUGAACACACCCUGAAUCAGAGCAGAUGACAACCAAUGGUGGGUACCUGACAUCUCCAAAGAA